GAUGAACGCUGGCGGCGUGCCUAAUACAUGCAAGUCGAGCGAACAGACGAGGAGCUUGCUCCUCUGCCGUUAGCGGCGGACGGGUGAGUAACACGUGGAUAACCUACCUAUAAGACUGGGAUAACUUCGGGAAACCGGAGCUAAUACCGGAUCAUAUAUUGAACCGCAUGGUUCAAUAGUGAAAGACGGUUUUGCUGUCACUUAUAGAUGGUUCCGCGCCGCAUUAGCUAGUUGGUAAGGUAACGGCUUACCAAGGCAACGAUGCGUAGCUGACCUGAGAGGGUGAUCGGCCACACUGGAACUGAGACACGGUCCAGACUCCUACGGGAGGCAGCAGUAGGGAAUCUUCCGCAAUGGGCGAAAGCCUGACGGAGCAACGCCGCGUGAGUGAUGAAGGUCUUCGGAUCGUAAAACUCUGUUAUUAGGGAAGAACAAAUGUGUAAGUAACUAUGCACGUCUUGACGGUACCUAAUCAGAAAGCCACGGCUAACUACGUG
rnacentral:rRNA from 1 species